rnacentral:rRNA from 5 species
CGGAUAUUCUUUUUUACAUGGAUAACUGUGGUAAUUCUAGAGCUAAUACAUGAACAAGUGUUCCAACCUCAGCUUGCUGACGGAAGGAUCGCAUUUAUUAGUACAAGACCAAUGAUUCUUAUUCACCUAGAACCCUGUUCAGUGAUUUCGGUCGCUGUCUAAGGACUAGCAGUGGGGAUCUUAGCAACUUCGGUUGCAUUUCUUGUGAUGACUCUGAAUAACUGAGCAAAUCGUAUGGCCUCUGAGCCGACGAUGUAUCCCUCAAGCAACUGCCUUAUCAACUGUCGAUGGUAGGUUAUGCGCCUACCAUGGUUGUAACGGGUAACGGGGAAUUAGGGUUCGAUUCCGGAGAGGGAGCCUGAGAAACGGCUACCACAUCUAAGGAAGGCAGCAGGCGCGCAAAUUACACAAUCCCAGUACGGGGAUGUAGUGACGAAAAAUAACAAUACGGGACUCUAUUGAGGCCCCGUAAUUGGAAUGAGUACAAUUUAAAUCCUUUAACGAGGAUCUAUUGGAGGGCAAGUCUGGUGCCAGCAGCCGCGGUAAUUCCAGCUCCAAUAGCGUAUAUUAAAGUUGCUGCGGUUAAAAAGCUCGUAGUUGGAUUUCAGUCGAACCUAUGGGGUCCACUGAUUAAAGGGUUAGAUGGUGAUGUUAGGUUUCUUGCUUGUGUCUACGGAUGCUAGCUUGAACCUUCAUUCCUCUUUCCUGGUGGUUACAUUCAUAGUGUUUAGACAGAAAAUUGCUCGAUAUUUGCUAUCAAUGCUCUUUACCGAGUGUUGAUUCAAGCGAUCGAGACUUUUACCUUGAAAAAAUCAGAGUGCUCAAAGCAGGCGUCCAAAACCUCGAAAGAGGUGCCUAAAAACGGUAUGGUCAACCAUCUAUAUGAUGCGUACCACUACCUUAACUUGAAUGAUCUUGCAUGGAAUAAUGGAAUAGGACCUUGGUUCUAUUUUGUUGGUCUUAAGAAUCCAAGGUAAUGAUUAAGAGGGACAGACGGGGGCAUUUGUAUUGCGGCGCUAGAGGUGAAAUUCUUGGACCGUCGCAAGACAAACUACAGCGAAAGCAUUUGCCAAGAAUGUUUUCAUUAAUCAAGAACGAAAGUUAGAGGUUCGAAGGCGAUCAGAUACCGCCCUAGUUCUAACCAUAAACGAUGCCAACCAGCGAUCAUUCUGAGUAACUAAUUUCAUGACUCGAAUGGAAGCUUCCGGGAAACCAAAGUUUUUGGGUUCCGGGGGAAGUAUGGUUGCAAAGCUGAAACUUAAAGGAAUUGACGGAAGGGCACCACCAGGAGUGGAGCUUGCGGCUUAAUUUGACUCAACACGGGAAAACUCACCCGGCCCGGACACUGAGAGGAUUGACAGAUUGAGAGCUCUUUCUUGAUUCAGUGGGUGGUGGUGCAUGGCCGUUCUUAGUUGGUGGAGUGAUUUGUCUGGUUAAUUCCGAUAACGAACGAGACUCUAGCCUACUAAAUAGACUUGCAGUUUACACUGCAGUACUCCCCCUUAGUCAACCUGUGGGUGGUAGUAUCUCUUGAUGGUUUCGGCUGUUGAGGGCUCUGCUGCUAUUAGCCUACAGAAUUGGCUAGGGUAAGGAUGCUGUAGCACUGUAAGGACUUCUUAGAGGGACAAGCGGCGCUCGCAGCCGCACGAAACAGAGCAAUAACAGGUCUGUGAUGCCCUUAGAUGUCCGGGGCCGCACGCGUGCUACACUGAAGUGGUCAUCGUGCAUACUGUUUCCUGCUCCGAAAGGAGUGGGUAACCGCUUGAACCCAUUUCGUGAUGGGGAUUGGGCAUUGUAAUUAUUGCCCAUGAACGAGGAAUUCCCAGUAAGCGUGAGUCAUUAGCUUGCGUUGAUUACG